GGAGGGGUGUCCGAGUGGUCUAAGGAACCGGUUUUGAAAACCGGCGAUGGGGUAACCCAUCCAAGAGUUCGAAUCUCUUCCCCUCCG
rnacentral:tRNA from 1 species